AAGACCUUGCGCUUUUGGAGCGGCCGAUGCCUGAUUAGCUUGUUGGUGAGGUAAAAGCUUACCAAGGCUUCGAUCAGUAGCUGGUCUGAGAGGACGGCCAGCCACACUGGGACUGAGACACGGCCCAGACUCCUACGGGAGGCAGCAGUGGGGAAUUUUGGACAAUGGGGGCAACCCUGAUCCAGCCAUGCCGCGUGAGUGAAGAAGGCCUUCGGGUUGUAAAGCUCUUUCAGCCGGAACGAAACGGUUACGGUUAAUACCCGUGAUUACUGACGGUACCGGAAGAAGAAGCACCGGCUAACUACGUGCCAGCAGCCGCGGUAAUACGUAGGGUGCGAGCGUUAAUCGGAAUUACUGGGCGUAAAGCGUGCGCAGGUGGUUUUGUAAGUCAGAUGUGAAAGCCCCGGGCUCAACCUGGGAACU
rnacentral:rRNA from 1 species